AGUGAACGCUGGCGGUAGGCCUAACACAUGCAAGUCGAACGGCCGCACAGUAAGAGCUUGCUCUUACGGGUGUCGAGUGUCGGACGGGUGCGUAAUACAUCGGAAUCUACUUUUUCGUGGGGGAUAACGUAGGGAAACUUCCGCUAAUACCGCAUACGACCUACUGGUGAAAGCAGGGGAUCUUCGGACCUUGCGCGAUUGAAUGAGCCGAUGUCGGAGUAGCUAGUUGGCGGGGUAAAGGCCCACCAAGGCGACGAUCCGUAGCUGGUCUGAGAGGAUGAAUAGGCAGACGGGAAGUGAGGAACGGUCCAGACACCGACGGGAGGAAGCAGUGGGAAAUAUUGGAGAAUGGGGGAAAGCCGGAUCCAGCCAUACCGGGUGGGUGAAGAAGGCCUUAGGGUUGUAAAACCAUUUUGGUGGGAAAGAAAAGAAGCAGGUUAACACCCCGCUGUUCUGACGGUACCCAAAGAAUAAGCACCGGCUAACUUCGUG
rnacentral:rRNA from 1 species